AUGAGCUUGUUCCCCUGUGAAGUAUGGAGAACUCAGUUCCUGAGGCAGAUGGGAGCACUUUUUAAGAAGAUGGAAUUUUCUAACAACCAGAGCUAUCUCAAAAUUCAUAAGCUUCCUGCCCCUGGAAAUGUGCAAGCCGUGUCUGUCUGCAGAGCUGAAAUUCCUGCGUUCUCAGGAGGCUGGGCAAAUGCUAAGAUGGAGGUUCUGAAGUCUGAUUACUGCACCAAUCACUGUGGGAGAGAGUUAGUGAUAUAUCUACUCCCAGACCCGGAACUAUACAGAAUCAAGAUCUAUUAAGGUGGGGCCCCAGAAUUUACAUUGUUUAACCCUCUCCAGGUGAAUCUCCUGAACAUAUUGCUCUACAUUCCCUUUUAAUCUGAGAUCCUAAUAAUACCAAAUUUGUACUGAAACUGAAGCUUGGGCUAAAGCUUUCUAGGAAUGCUCAUCAGCUGCGAUGCUGGAACUGCUCUCUAGGUGAUCUCUGGGGUUUCCCUUGAGUGUGCAAGGCCUUUCUCCUUGCUCCCAGCCUUCUCCCCUUUUCUUUGUCUCCUCUUCCCUUUCUGUACUUCCUUUUCCCUGUCUCUCCUCCCUUUUGUCUCUCUAGGCUCAGUUUUUCCGUGUGUUUUCCUGACUAGGUUCCCACGGCAUUAGUGACAUCAACCACUCCUGACCCUACACAUCUGUAGGUGUGAAACGCUGUGUGCAGAAUUUCCACGCAGCUCUCAUUGGCCUGACCCCACAAAAGAUAGCUGGGUAGGCCCUUGGGUGAAGACAAAAACCAGCCCAGUGGGAAAGGCUGCUGGGGUGGGCUGGCAUGCACCUGAGGUUUCCUUGAAAGCUAGAGAGAAAAGGGUUAGCUUCUUAUCUUUAGAAGUUCUCCUGAGCUCUAGUUCCUAUGUAAAUCAGUGUAAAACACUCUAGAAUCAGAAAGGCCCUGUGUGUUUUUUUCUCUGAGAGCUUUAAAUACAGGAUGGUUGGGUCACUGAUUUAGUAAUAAAAUGAAGGCUCCACAGAGGCUGACACAGGUGAACUUGAGUGCGGAUCUGGGGCAGGAAAUCAAGAUACUUUGCUUUGUCGUUAGGAACAAAUCCAGUAAUGUUAUUUCCAUUAACUAAUCAAUUACUUGAUUAGCUCAUGUGUUCAUCAUAUACUUAUUGAAUGCCUACUAAAUGCCAAGUACUGGCUGAGGACUGAGGGGAGAGAGAAAACAUCUGCCCUCAAAGAUGCGAGCCUUGCAAAGGGGAAAAAAACAGAUGAACAGACAAUUCUGAGGUGCAGAGAAUGUGAAGAUUAUAUCACUGAGUUCAGAAAGCAGAGACCCUGACCAGUCUGGGGGUUGUGGUGGUGAGGACAAUUGUCUGUCUGAAAGUCAAUCCUCACGGCUUGGUGGUGCAUGGCACUGUCUGUGACCCUUGCCUGAAUGAACCACACAUGACACAGCAAGGUCCCUACUCAAACAACAGCAGCAGCAACUUAGCAAUUAUAUGAAUAUGUUGCCUCCAAAAUGAUAGAUUUUUCUUUUUCUUUUCUUUUUUUCUUUUUUUUUAGAUGGAGUCUCAUUCUGUCACCCAGGUUGGAGUGCAGUGACGCAAUCACGCCUCACUGCAAGCUCCGCCUCCCGGGUUCACGCCAUUCUACUGCCUCAGCCUCCCGAGUAGCUGGGACUACAGGCGCCCGCCACACACCUGGCUAAUUUUUGGGUAUUUUU
rnacentral:lncRNA from 10 species